rnacentral:rRNA from 1 species
GACGAACGCUAGCGGCGUGCUUAACACAUGCAAGUCGAACGGAAAGGCCUGCUUUCCCUUGUGGAUUGCGGGUACUCGAGUGGCGAACGGGUGAGUAACACGUGAGUGAUCUGCCCCCAACUUGGGUAUAAGCCUGGGAAACUGGGUCUAAUUCCCGAUAGGACUGCAGGGUGGUGCCUGUGGUGGAAAACGAUUUUCUAGUGGUUGGGGGUGAGCUCGCGGCCUAUCAGCUUGUUGGUGGGGUAAUGGCCUACCAAGGCGGCGACGGGUAGCCGGCCUGGGAGGGUGGACGGCGACAGUGGGACGGAGAGGCGGCCCAGACUCCGACGGGAGGCAGGAGUGGGGAAGAGUGCACGAUGGGCGGAAGCGUGAUGCGGCGACGGCGGGUGGGGGAUGACGGGCGUGGGGUGGUAGGCUCCUGGCGAGCGGGAGGAGGCCAGGUGGUUGGAAGGGUGGUGACGGUAGUGGUAGAAGAAGCACCGGCUAACUACGUG